UUCUUCCAGCCGCGAAAACAAUAUCUCAAGAACUGUGCGGUCUACUAGCUCGGCAGCCACUGGUGAACUAGCAAGUUACAGCUUCAAUGGGGGAGAUUACAGAUCCGCAUCCUGGUUCUAAACCUCCUUCACCAUUUAUUCAGGGAACCGCUGAAAUGCUUCCAUCUCUUACAUCUCUAGAUCCACCAAUCUUGCCGACUCCAUUAACGGUGACUUACAGUUCCAUUUCAUCUCAACAUCCUUGUUUGGUAGAUCCAUUCAUCAAAGCUCGAGAUGCUAUGUAUGGGUUCCCUGUCACGCCAUCUUUUCCUGGAGGAGCAUCUUCAGCGACAGCUUUGAUGGGCAGGGCAACAGAUGGUCUAAUUGCUGGAUCUCGUCGGCGGCGGCGGAGGCGGAGAGAAAAGAGCGUUACCGGAGAUGAGAGUGACCGGCGGCGGGGGAUGGGAUGAGCGUAGGGAGCGGAUGGCAGCGAAAAACAAAAGCUGGGAAUGAGCAGCUCGAAAUAGCUAUAUGUAAAGGGAAGGACGGGAAUGGAAAUGAGGGGAAGUUAGCCAUCGGGAAAGGACUAAAGCAAUGAAGCCUGUGAUGACCAGUGCGAAUAUCAAAGCACGAAUGGGCGGUCCAGAUAAGGUUUGCGGCCGCACCGGUUGUGAGCGUGCAUUUUCGAAUCACAACAGGCUCUCUUCCGUCUUCCUCACUCAGUCACUCGUCGAAGUCCGCGCGGGUCGCCGCGCGCCGCCCUCAUGCUGGCCGCAGCGGAGCACGCCGCGGCGACCUCGCCGCGUUCGUCCGGUACACGUGCCGUGCCGCCCUAGAGCACGGCGCGGCGAUCUGGGCGGGUUCGUCCCGUCCCGUGUCGUGCCGUGCCGCCGGGUCCUCCAUGCCGAUGUCGAAGAGCACGCCUGGAACACGAGCCGGUUCCGCCGCGCGCGUGUUCAGCAGCAUCCGCCAGGAUGGUCGCAGACCAUGAUCACACGCACGUUUUGCUCUUUGCUGUCCAACUCCGUCCAGGCGACGCAAGCAGGUCCGCCGGCAUGCGCCGGCCACACCUGGCGAUCGGCGUCAGACCGCGCCAUCGCGACAGCGUCCGCCUCGUCGGCGAAUCGACCGCCGCGUCGUAUCCCAGGGCGACCCGGAACACCUCGCGCACCAUGGAGCGGCACCCCUCGCCGGCUCGAGCCUUUCUCGUCACAUUCAUGUUUGCACGGAAGGUUAGCAUGGGAGUCUGGGACCAAGUCCAUGAAUUGGAUUUGGGAAAGAUUCCCUCAUUGGAUUCUGCCGAAGGUUACAAGCCUCACGGUGGCAGCUAUCUGGUCAUGCAUGAUUACUCCCCAAAAGCUUCAGUGCCUUCUCAACUUGGGUAAAAAUCUGUCCAUAUGUUAUCUGUAACUGAGCAAUUCCAGCAAAAUUUAAACCUUCACUCGGUCUGCUCUUGCUUGAAGGUUACAGUUAUGUGUCGCAACAAGUUUUCUAUCUGGUCAUCGAGCAUUUAAUUUGCUUCAGUUAAGUUUUGCAAAAAAAAAAAGAUGUCAGUUAAGGCAUAAAUUUUACUGUAGACUUAAAGAAAAGUAUGAACCAAAUUUGAGUACGCUUUGAUUUCCUUUUUCAUUUGCAAAGAUUUUUCUUUGUCAAUACCUAAUCUGUAUGGAGUUCAGGAACAAGGGAAAUAGAAAAGGUACAUUUGUGGACCUCAUCUGCUAUCAUCUUCAUUUAUGUAGGCUGUUCAAAAGUGAAGUAGGGUAGAGAAUAUUUGAGUGUAUUCAAGUUCAGUUCAGUUCAGUUCAGUUGCUAUUUGGGCGCAAGUUCAGUUCAGUUGCUAUUUUGGCGUUUAGAAUGGCAAUGGAUCGAACCACAUAAGCUGUUUAUAGACCAUGCAGUUCUGAUGUGUACUACCUUUUAGUAGUUUACUUAAUUAUAGAACAUAUAUGUUUGUCCAUGCUGAACUAACAACUGUGCCUGUCGGUAUUAGAGUACCCAAAACAAUAUACUGUUAUAUAUCCUGUUACCAUCAAACGUGUGAUCUUUUGUCAUGCCGAAUUCAAUGUAAUCUUUUGUGUCAUGCCGAAUUCAACACACCAUGAAAAUGUGCAGCUCCACAUGUAUAAAGCGAAGCAACCAGCACCACAUCCAUAAGCACUCUGAUGCCAACGAUUGCUUCGUCCAUGCUAUGAACACUACCCUUUCAAUAAUAAACUUAAGACUGUCCCUUAGUUAAUUAUGUUGUAAACUACCCAUC